rnacentral:lncRNA from 1 species
AUGGGCACAAAAUGCCUAUCAGGCAAGAAACUUCUUGGGGAGAUGGCAGAAUUCUCUGGCCCUUCUGCCAGAGGUGGAGCCCUUGGAGAUGUCCUCACUAGAGAGAGGAGCGACAGAGCAGGAGGGCCCCAGCAGGAGCCUCAAGCUGAGAUCAAAGGUGAUAUUUUUACAGCAACUGAAAUAGAAAACCACUGGACACAGUGGGAGGUGAGUGGCCGGGACACAGGCCCCUCUAUGAUGCCUGUGGCUUCAGCAAGCAUUCUGCCCUCUGCCUUGGGUGUGGGGGACUGUGUGGUGAUCUUCCCAACCAAGGUUCAAGGAGGAAACAGACAUGAGCAACAGCCCUCAGUGCUGGGAGAGGAGAGGGACAUCAGUGAAGGAUCAUAGUGAGCACUCGGUGCCUGACAUCCUCACCCCAGACCACUCUGUCACUGUGCAGUAGUGUCUGAGUUGUUCCAGGGCUUCUUGGUACACCGUUUCAUCUGUACAGAGGCCUCUGAGGAGGAUUAUUGUCACCCCUGUUUUACUGAGAGUGCUUGAAACUAAGUCCUGUAGGGAAUUGGGGGCCAAUUCAGAACUAGAAGCCUGGGGCUGCUGGUCCAAGAUUCUUUCUGCUCUUUUUUUUUUUUUUUGGUACCAGGGAUCGAACGCGGGUCCUUGCGCUUGCACAGCAGGCAGCAAAACCACUGAGCUACAUCCCCAGCCCUUCUUUCUGCUCUUUUUUUUUUUUUUGGUACCAGGGAUCGAACGCGGGUCCUUGCGCUUGCACAGCAGGCAGCAAAACCACUGAGCUACAUCCCCAGCCCUUCUUUCUGCUCUUUUUUUUUUUUUUGGUACCAGGGAUCGAACGCGGGUCCUUGCGCUUGCACAGCAGGCAGCAAAACCACUGAGCUACAUCCCCAGCCCUUCUUUCUGCUCUUUAUAAUCCUGCCCACCUACUCAUGCUCCAAAUCACUGUUCCCAUUAGCACUGGUCCUGGCUGCCCCUUCCAUAAUAGCACCCACAGUCAUGUCCACGAAAGCAGUGGGACUCAAAGCAUGGCCCCCAGAUCAGCAGCAUCAGCAUUAUCCAGGAACAUGCUAGAAAUGCAGAUUGUCAGGUCCCAACCCAGAUUUACCUAACCAGAAACGAAGUUGGGCCCAGCCCUCAAGACUUCAACAUACUCUCCAGGUGAUUCAGUUGCACUAACGGUGAGGAUCACUGCACUGUGUUACCUCAGUUUCCACAUCUGUACUCUACAGAAAAAAACACCUGUCUCACAAGGUUGAGCCCAGUGUUGUCUAACACACAUGCUAGGUGUGUGCCCUGUGCCAAGCAUCCUUCCAGCCCUUUGCAGGCAUUAACUCACGUAAUUUCACAACCCUGUGAGAUAGGAGCUAAGUCUCCUCAUCUCACAGAUGAGGAAAUGGAAGCACAGAGAGGGAAAGGGACUUGGCCAGGGUCGCACAGCUAGGAAAUAGCUGGGUUCUAGAAUCCCAGCUCUUUACAGCUAACCAAUAGAAAGUCCCUGACAAUGGGUCUGGCUCCCAAAUGUUCUGGGCAUGACUAAAAAUGUUAUGAUGGCAAUUAGUAUUACCUCACCUGAACUCAAGAUGAUGACCCCCAUUCUGUAAAUGUGAAAUCUGCUGCCUUGUCAAGAUCGAGGCGUGAGUCAGCUUCAACCACAGCCACAGUGUCUGAAACCCCAGUACAGCACAGGCCUCUCCCUUCCCUGAUCCAGGAGACCACAGUGUACCAUUCUGGGCUGCUGGAACAACCCAGCUGGUUGCAGGGUAGAAUGUGGGCUCUGGCAGAGAGGGAGCUGGAGCCCCAGUUUGGCCACUCAAGUUCUGCGUGACCUCUCUGAACCUCACAUUCCUUCUCUGUAAAUUGAUCGAUGACAGUCCUAACUCUGAAGGUUCCUGUGAGGUUGGAGACAAUGACAUUUGUCCCAACCCAGAGCAUGCACAGAGCUGGCUAUCAUCAAGCAACUUGCCCCUCUCUUCCCCCUGUGGCUGCUAGCUCAGUGGAAACAGCAGCUCCGAAUCCAGAAAGGUUUUGAAAGGAGAAGAAAUAAGUUCCCAAGAACCCAAGUGCUUUUAUCCUCCAGCUUCCCUAACCUGUUCCACAUCUCUCCUGCCCAAGGUGUUGGGGUUAAAUACUGACACCAGCUGCACCCAAGUCAGGAGUCCAGUUACCUGCAAAAGGGAGAGGCGUCUUACUCCCCCAGCCUCAUUGGCUAGGCAGGCAACAACAAUCAGCAGGAGCAUCCAAGACCUGUCACCACCAUGGCCAGUUUGGCCUGGACAUAUGAAGCUCGUUAGCUGCAUGCUCCUAAGGGCCUGAGCCCGCUUGGCAAGAAUUUCCCCAGACAGGGCAACCCAUUUGGGACCCCUCCUGUCUCCCAGGAGCUAUUCUUAUUCCUAAUUCUUAUUCUCCAUUCUUAUUCCCCAAUAAAUGUUCCUACUCUUAACCUCUGUUGUUCCUUAGACAAACGUGCCAUAUCUGAUAUCUAGCAUGAUGGGAGCAACGUCUAUUCCCCCUAUAUCCCCCCUUCUGUCUCUCUUAGACAGAAGCUAUCUUUCUCUCAAUAAAUCCUUCUUAAAUAUGGUAUUUAUACACAAUGAAGUACUAUUCUGCUCUAAAUUCCCCAAUAAAUGUUCCUACUCUUAACCUCUGUUGUUCCUUAGACAAACGUGCCAUAUCUGAUAUCUAGCAUGAUGGGAGCAACGUCUAUUCCCCCUAUAUCCCCCCUUCUGUCUCUCUUAGACAGAAGCUAUCUUUCUCUCAAUAAAUCCUUCUUAAAUAUGGUAUUUAUACACAAUGAAGUACUAUUCUGCUCUAAAGGAUAAAUUUGAGUCAUUUGUAGAAAAAUGGCACCUUGAAAAAAUCAUACUGUUAAGUGAAAUAUUAUAAAUCAGACACAAGAGCUUAAAUAUCACAUGGUUUCUCUUAUAUGAGAAACCCAAAGUAUAAAAAAAUUUAAAGAGCAAGUUAAAGAUAGAUAAUAGGAAACAGAGAGCUAGAUUUUUUGCAAAUGGAAAAAGUACCAAGAGAUAGAUAGAGAUGAGAGGAAGAGAAGAGGAAGUAAGAGGAAUUAAGAUGUGUUUGUUAUGUACCAAUUCCCCAUGAUGAAUGUAAUCAUUAUGUACUGCAAACAUGUACUAAUAAAAAUUAAAAAAAAAAUUCUUCCUACUCUUAACCUCCAUUGUUCCUAGAAUUCAUUCGAGUUUAGAGAGCUCGAACUUGGCAUUUCAAAUGUCUAGCGGGCAUUGAAACCAGCAUGCUACAGGGAUACCCGCAUACCCACGUUUACUACAGCAUAAUUCACAGUAGCCAAGACAUGGAGCCAGCCGAGGUGGCCACGGACAGUUUUAGCAGAUACAAAACACUGCAGCCCUCAGCAGACACACACUCCUUAGGCGGUUGAAGACCAGGUAUAUGUCCUACUGUCUCCACCCAGAUACAGAUGUUCUGUGUCCUCACACAGAACGCAGAACGGAUGUUAUAGAAAGGAGAAAAGACCACAAAGCACAGCACAACAUCUUCCCGGUGCCAGGUCAACUGACAACACCCACACAUCUGCCCUGCCCGCUGCAUGGACCCUGACCACAAAUAUUUGCUCCAGCCCCUGUAAGUGCCAGACCCCUUCCUGAUCCCCUAUAAAAAUCCCUGCCUGUUUGGUUGUUGGCCCUCAGUCGACUUGCACCCAGGUGAAUAAAGUCUGUGCCUCAUUGCUUUCCCAAAAAAAAAACAAUUUCC